AGACAACCUGAACAUCGACAUAAAAGCAUCACACAUUCCCGGAGCCAGAAAUGUGAUAGCAGACACCCUAUCCCGUCCAAUGAAUCCAUCACCGACGGAAUGGAUGUUACAUCCAGAGGCAUUCAGGGACAUCAUUCGGACAGUAGGAUCCCCACUGGUAGAUUUGUUCGCAACCAAGUUCAGCAAACAACUACCAACAUUCGUCUCUCCGGUUCCAGAUCCGCAAGCAUGGGCAACAGAUGCUUUGAGCAUAUCUUGGGAAGGACUCAACGCUUACGCGUUCCCUCCACCAGCAAGUUCAACAAACAACU